UAAUAGUGUAUAUUAAAGUUGUUGCAGUUAAAAAGCUCGUAGUUGAAUGUUGGUGUCGAACGAGCGGUCAGCUUCGGCUGUACUGCUCUCUCGACUCCUUCCUUCUGUGGACUACGUCGCACUUUACUGUGUGGCGCUAGGACGCAGAUCGUUUACUGUGAAAAAAUUAGAGUGUUCAAAGCAGGCCGUACGCUUGAAUACAUUAGCAUGGAAUAAUGGAAUAGGACGUCGGGCCUAUUUUGUUGGUUCUAGGACCGUCGUAAUGAUUAAUAGGGACAGUUGGGGCCGUUUAUAUUCCGUAGUCAGAGGUGAAAUUCUUGGAUUUACGGAAGAUAAACUACUGCGAAAGCAUUCGGCAAGGAUGUUUUCGUUAAC
rnacentral:rRNA from 1 species